UUAUUUUUGAUGAAAUUUUGGAUCCCUAUUAGGGUUAUGUUUGGUAAUUCAAAUCGUAACUGGACUAUUUUUAGCUAUACAUUAUACAUCAAAUAUUGAAAUAGCAUUCAGUAGUGUAGUACACAUCUGCCGAGACGUAAAUAAUGGUUGAAUUAUCCGAACCUUACACGCAAAUGGAGCAUCUAUAUUUUUUAUUUGUAUUUACUUACAUGUAGGACGGGGAAUUUACUAUGGAUCUUAUAUAUAUAUAUACAUACCUGAAUAAUUGGUACAGUGAUUUUAUUUUUUGUUAUAGCAACUGCAUUUAUAGGAUAUGUCUUACCCUGAGGCCAAAUAUCUUUUUGAGGUGCAACAGUAAUUACUAAUUUAUUAUCAGCAAUCCCAUACUUAGGAACAGAUUUAGUCCAAUGAGUAUGAGGAGGAUUCGCUGUUGAUAAUGCAACAUUAAAUCGAUUCUUCACAUUCCAUUUUGUAUUACCAUUUAUUAUUGCUGCUUUAGCAGCAAUUCAUUUAUUUUUUCUUCACCAAACAGGAUCUAAUAAUCCUCUUGGACUAAAUGGAGAUAUUGAAAAAAUUCCAUUCCAUCCAUACUUUACCUUUAAGGAUUCUAUUACAUUUGUAAUAAUAACAUCAUUAUUAAUUAUACUAUGUUUACUUAAUCCUUACCUAUUAGGAGAUCCAGAUAACUUUGUACCUGCCAACCCAUUAGUAACACCAGUUCACAUUCAACCACAAUGAUAUUUCCUAUUUGCAUAUGCCAUUCUACGAUCUAUCCCUAAUAAGUUAGGAGGUGUUAUUGCAUUAUUUUUAUCAAUUAGAAUCUUAAUAAUUUUACCAUUUUAUAAUAAAACACCAUUCCGAGGCAUUCAAUUUUACCCUAUUAAUCAAAUUUUAUUCUGAAUUAUAGUAGUUGUUGUAUGCUUACUAACGUGAAUUGGUAAACGACCUGUUGAAGAACCUUAUAUUAUAACAGGUCAAAUCUUAACAAUUAUUUACUUCACAUAUUUCUUAAUUAAUGUCCAUGUCGCAAACGCAUGAGAUAAAUUAAUUAAGGAAUAAA